AUUGAACGCUAGCGGGAUGCUUUACACAUGCAAGUCGAACGGCAGCGCGGACUUCGGUCUGGCGGCGAGUGGCGAACGGGUGAGUAAUGUAUCGGAACGUGCCCAGUAGCGGGGGAUAACUACGCGAAAGCGUAGCUAAUACCGCAUACGCCCUACGGGGGAAAGCAGGGGAUCGUAAGACCUUGCACUAUUGGAGCGGCAGAUAUCGGAUUAGCUAGUUGGUGAGGUAACGGCUCACCAAGGCGACGAUCCGUAGCUGGUUUGAGAGGACGACCAGCCAAACUAGGACUGAGACAAGGCCCAGACUCCUACGGGAGGCAGCAGUGGGGAAUUUUGGACAAUGGGGGCAACACUGAUCCAGCCAUCCCGCGUGUGCGAUGAAGGCCUUCUGGUUGUAAAGCACUUUUGGCAGGAAAGAAACGUCGCGGGCUAAUACCCCGUGGAACUGACGGUACCUGCAGAAUAAGCACCGGCUAACUACGUG
rnacentral:rRNA from 1 species